rnacentral:tRNA from 1 species
GUCCCGGUAGCUCAGUUCGGCGAGAGCACCACCCCGACAUGGUGGGGGCCGGUGGUUCGAAUCCACCUCGGGGCA